rnacentral:rRNA from 1 species
UACGGAAGGGGCAAGCGUUGUUCGGAAUCAUUGGGCGUAAAGGGCGCGUAGGUGGUUCUGUAGUGUCUACCGUGAAAGCAUACAGCUCAACUGUAUUUGUCGGUAGAAACUGCAGGACUUGAGGCUGGGAGGGCUGGUGGAAUUCCCGUGUGUAGCGGUGAAAUGCGUAGAUAUCGUAAGGAAGACCAGUGGCGAAGGCGGGUCUCUGGACAGUUCCGUGACGCUGAGGCACGAAGGUCAGGGGAGCAAACGGG